CUGGUAGACUGGAGGUGUGCAGAAGAAAGCAAGGCAAAGGCUUGCGUGGGAUUCCUUUGUCUAAGGAGUGUAACAAGGUCCUGAAACAAGACAAUAUGACAACCAUUGUUGAAAGACUUUGGGCCUUAAGAUAUAUAUGCAUUGAGCAGCUUUGGACUAACGGACACAACUCCAAUCGCACAGUACAUAUAGGGUGUGCUUUGACAGCGAAGGAGAAUGAUGAGAUUUGUACAGAAGCAGUAAUGGAGGGCACUGCUCAUUGGGAAGGUUCCAUGUGAGUGAUGGAGAAACUGCAGAGGUUUAGUAGAUUCUACCUCCACUGUGGACUCUGAGACUUCUUCCUGUCCCCUUUCUCCAAGAAGCAGAGCCCUGGAAGUAAGCAGAAGAAGGGGCCUGCAGUGAAAAGAAAGCUGGCAGCAGGUGGAGAUGCAGGUGGCCACCUUUGCCCUUCCUAUGAUGACAAGACUCUAGAAUCAUAGGCAAGAUGAAAAAAAUGGGUCAGCCUUCUUCCAA
rnacentral:lncRNA from 1 species